rnacentral:rRNA from 1 species
GACGAACCGUGCGAACGUUGUUCGGAAUCACUGGGCUUAAAGGGCGCGUAGGCGGAUCUGCAAGUCAGGGGUGAAAGCCCCCGGCCCAACCGGGGAAGUGCCUCUGAUACUGUGGGUCUCGAGCGGGAUAGGGGCAGCUGGAACUUCCGGUGGAGCGGUGAAAUGCGUAGAUAUCGGGAGGAACACCAGUGGCGAAGGCGCGUUUCUGGGCUGCAUCUGACGCUGAGGCGCGAAAGCUAGGGGAGCAAACAGG